GACGGAAGGUGCAAGCGUUGCUCGGAAUCACUGGGCGUAAAGGGUGCGUAGGCGGCCGUGUAAGUCUGGCGUGAAAGCCCCGGGCUCAGCCCGGGAAGUGCGCUCGAAACUGCGCGGCUCGAGUGCCGGAGGGGAGAGUGGAAUUCCUGGUGUAGCGGUGAAAUGCGUAGAUAUCUGGAGGAACACCGGUGGCGAAGGCGGCAUCCUGGACCGAGAUUGACGCUGAGGCGCGAAAGCCAGGGGAGCAAACGGG
rnacentral:rRNA from 1 species